GUUAAAUUUUCUCACCCCCUUGCUUACUUGGACCCAAACUUUCUUUUGAAGACACAGCAGCACGAGGCUCGCCGCACAACCCGGCACAGCGGCCAAGUAGUUACCUCCGCCGGUUUACCGAAUACUCCGGUUCAGAAACGCCAAUGAGAGGUUACUUCCCACUCAUCUUCUGGCGAGUCAUCAUCCACAAAGCUUCCACCCCUCAAAACAGUUCUUGGUGCCAAGCCCAGACCCAGUAAGAAGGCUCGGUUGGAUAAACCGGUUGAUGAUAACGUGGCUGUUGAACAGGAAAAAACUCUAGAUCCUGAAGCAACCGAUGCUGACGCCACGCUUAAUGACCCACCGCCUCAAGACCAUGACUUCUUUGCUGAACAGGUGGAAAUUGCCACCGCAAGCCGCGCUGACCAGCCAAUCAGCCCUGUCCGAACCGAUGAUAAACCGGUCAGUCCAGUUAAGGACACUUACAAACCACCAACUCCAGAAAAGGCUGCUGAUGAAAAAGAUGAUGAUAUUAUGAUUACUGGCAUUGGCCAUACCACUCCUGGUAAUCCUGUUGCUUUAUCAAAGCAUACUGCCAAGGAUGAGCUCUCUGCUAUUGGCAAAGGCAAAUGGA